rnacentral:snoRNA from 1 species
GGCCCCUGGCUAUGGGCAAAGAGACACCUGCCUGGUGGUGGUGCUCUUAUAUCAGUUAGGAACAGCGUCAAAUUGAAGUCCUUUGUUCAUCCUAGCUUGAUGCCUGGAUUGUGGCCAGAGCUGUUUCAUGCCUAGGGCACAUAU